UACGUAGGGUGCAAGCGUUGUCCGGAAUUAUUGGGCGUAAAGAGCUCGUAGGCGGUCUGUCGCGUCUGCUGUGAAAACUCAGGGCUUAACCCUGAGCUUGCAGUGGGUACGGGCAGACUAGAGUGCGGUAGGGGAGACUGGAAUUCCUGGUGUAGCGGUGAAAUGCGCAGAUAUCGAGAGGAACACCUGCGGCGAAGGCGGGUUGCUGGGCUGAUACUGACGCUGAGGCGCGAAAGCCAGGGGAGCGAACGGG
rnacentral:rRNA from 1 species